UUUCAAAGUACAAAAGAUUGUUUGCAUUUUAAAUGAAUUUUAAUAUUAGAUCUAAUAGCUGCUAGAAAGAAAGACAAAGCAGCAACAGAAAAAAGUUGGCAAGUAAUUCAAGGGAGAUAGUCUAGUACUAAGCCUUAAAACCAAAAUGGCGUAUUUCCAAUGACAAUAUAUGGGAUGUUGAAAGUUAUAACACUACAGAUGUGAGCAUGGUAAAACAUUGCGAAAACUUUUUGGCCAACACCAGAUGUUUCCUAUUACUGACUGGAGUAACAUUUUCUUGGCUGUUUUCACAUGAUCUGAGGAGAUGAUUUAUAAAAUGAACAGAGUUCAAGAUCUUUAUUUAGAUGUCAUUAAUAUGAAAUACCUGAACUGAUUUUAAAAAGAAUUUUAGGCCUAUGCAGAUUUAUGAGGUCACCUAAUUGUUCAUGUUGUAACUAGAGACUCUACUAAAACAUUGGUUUUCUUUGAUUAUUUAGGCAAAUAGUUGCAUCCCUUAAUGAUACUUGAAAAGAAAAAAAUAAAUGAUAUUUAAAUAUUUCA